AUUGAACGCUGGCGGCAUGCUUUACACAUGCAAGUCGAACGGCAGCGCGGGCUUCGGCCUGGCGGCGAGCGGCGAACGGGUGUGUAAUACAUCGGAACGUGCCCAGGAGUGGGGGAUAGACCCGCGAAAGCAGGAUUAAUACCACAUACGACCUGGGGGUGAAAGCGGGGGAUCUUCGGACCUCGCGCUAUUGGAGCGGCCGAUGGCAGAUUAGCUAGUUGGUGGGGUAAAGGCCUACCAAGGCGACGAUCUGUAGCUGGUCUGAGAGGACGACCAGCCACACUGGGACUGAGACACGGCCCAGACUCCUACGGGAGGCAGCAGUGGGGAAUUUUGGACAAUGGGCGAAAGCCUGAUCCAGCAAUGCCGCGUGUGUGAUGAAGGCCUUCGGGUUGUAAAGCACUUUUGGCGGGAACGAAAAGGACUGUGCCAAUACCACGGUUCGAUGACGGUACCCGCAGAAUAAGCACCGGCUAACUACGUG
rnacentral:rRNA from 1 species